UACGGAGGAUUCAAGCGUUAUCCGGAUUUAUUGGGUUUAAAGGGUUCGUAGGCGGCUUGUUAAGUCAGGGGUGAAAGACGGUAGCUUAACUAUCGCAGUGCCCUUGAUACUGAUGGGCUUGAAUACCGUGGAGAUGAGCGGAAUAUGUCAUGUAGCGGUGAAAUGCUUAGAUAUGACAUAGAACACCAAUUGCGAAGGCAGCUCGUUGCGCGAAUAUUGACUCUGAGGCUCGAAAGCGUGGGGAGCAAACAGG
rnacentral:rRNA from 1 species